rnacentral:lncRNA from 1 species
CGUCCGUCCGUUCGUCCGUCUUUCAGGUUAAAGUUUUUGGUCGAGGUAGUUUUUGAUGAAGUUGAAGUCCAAUCGACUUCAUACUUGGUACACAUGUUCCCUAUGAUAUGAUCUUUCUAAUUUUAAUGCCAAAUAAGAGAUUUUACCCCAAUUUCACGGUCCACUGAACAUAGAAAAUGAUAGUGCGAGUGGGGCAUUCGUGUACUGAGGACACAUUCUUGUUUUUGCUAAAAUUUACCACAUUUUGAACAAAAGGAAAUUUAUUGCGUGUUACUUCCAAGGGAUUUUAACUCUGAUUACAUCAUUAAGACAUGGUUCAUAUGUGUGCCAACUAUCUUUCAUGUAUUGUUAAUCGGCGAGAAGAAAAUAAAAAUUUAAAAC